UAAAGUAUCCUGACGAACAAGACUCAUGUCUGACAUACAAUUACUCUGAAUAUAAUAGACUAUUGUUGACACAUGAGGAUCCAGCACUAUGGCUACGUGUUACACACUUAUGCAUAUAAGAAACACGCCAAUGCGUUAGGAUGCAGCCUGGUCUCACAGACUAGACUCCUAAGAACAGUGAUGUCCUCAAACUAGUUUUCCCUUUACUGAGACACCGGACGCUAUGUAUCCAUUUGACGCGACACUACGAAUCAAUUUGAUUAAAUUCACCUUCAUUACUUAUGAACUGCCCAACAGAGGAUAAUACCACCAACCCUCAAUCUCUGCAGUUUUUGCCAAAAUAAGUCAUAUUGUUUAUCAGGACUGUAGAGAGUGAAAGUGAUAAUGGAUGAUGAUGAUUCAUUUUACAUGGCCUAAUGCUGGAGUUGUGGGACAUACAUGCUACAAGGCCAUAACCAUUAUUUCUUAUAUAUCUUUUUUGCAUGGUUUUCUUAUGAAUUAUUUACAUGAUGUGCGUUUUUGCAAGUCACUAUUCAAUACUAGUAUGUAUUCUAAUUUUGGCUAUUUUUAUAUGGCCUAGGUCUAAUCAUUUCAGCAUAUCUAUAUCCUAUAUACGAACAAAGGGCAAACGCCGCUCAUGGAGAUGAGAGGAGACUGCUUCUUCUUCCCUGCCAUUCACAGAGAGACGGGACCCUAAGCAUAAUGAUCUGCGACAAUGCGCAAAAUAAUUUCACUCUCUUAUGAUUUCACCUUAUUUAAGUUAUUGUCUUCCUCUGUUAUUAGCAGUCAAUUUCUUAUGUUUUUUUCACCAAUGCCCGUUGUUAUUAUUCUCCUUACCUUGCAGGCGCAGCAUGCCGUUAUUUGUCCACAGCAAACCGGGAUAAAUAGUGUUGCAGGCUACGAAGGCAAGGCUGAAAAAGGGAAAAAGAUGAGGAUGCCAUCACCAAGCUCUCUUUGCGUAAACCCAGAUGCCUCCACUCCCUCUUGACGAGCGCAUAGUGGUUAUUCAGCGCCCUAAAAACUUGGCCCUACCUGGGUCCUCCCCACAGCCCCACUCCCAUAUAACAGCCCAUAGCAACAAACUUCUCUCCCGCCCUUCUCAUCCCCACCCUCCUCAGUCCUACCCCAAUCCUCCCUCCUCGAACUCACUGUCUUUGGAAUGCAAGCGCAGAUCAUCAUCCCAUCUGCAGAAAACCAAGGUCGACAAGGCCAUUGUCUCAGAGGGUACCAGACACACCCCUAGCCACUGUCACAGCAACGGGACAGUGACUUUUGGCCCUAGUCCACACCAACACACACAUACGAUCGACAUCAAGUUAUCUGUGAACAAAGGAACAAAAGGAGGGGGGCACAGCAACUCUUUAGUUCGCAGUGGGAGUGUGAAGGGGAGUAAAAAAAGGGUUUCGUUGUGCUUGGAUCCAGGAUACGGGGAGAAAAACACUGGAGGAACAUCAGGGAAGCCUGGAGGAGCAGUGCAGCAACUCCAAAACCACCCACAGAACCAGAGACAAGCCUCACCAGGCAGUCACCAUCAGAAUAAUCUGUCUGUGUCCCCGGGAGGAGUCUUAGAGUUUGUCCCAUCUCAGAGACAGCAGUCCAAGUCCAGAAGAGAGAAGGUGCAGAACGUGUCCUCCAAAGUCUGCUCUGCCAGCUUCCCCCCCAGAGGUGCCCGGGAAGUGCCCUACGUGGGUAACAAAGAGAAUUCCAAACUGGGACCUGUCCAUCAAAACCCCAACCCCCACAGCCUGCCCGGCCACCACAACUCUGUCCCUGUGCCCCAUGCCGCUGUUCUAAACUCCCACUACCCUGUCCCCCCUCCCUCCCACCACCCCCGUGCUCCUACCUCGUUUCAGCAACCCCUCAACCAGUCUCGUCCAUCCCGCGGCAGGGACCAUCGUCCUCAGAUCCUCCACGGCCUACCCCUCUCCCCCUGUUCCUCCCGUGGAGGUUUUCCCAGCCCAGACCACACCUGUACCAUCGACUUCUCCCAUCCCUUCAGCUGUGGCUGCUGGAAGCUGGUCCGCUGCAGGGGGGCCAGGGGACAUUCUGCUGGCUGCCAGAGGGGUGGGGGGAGUCCGUCUUCCUCUUUCUCCUGUGGCCACAGCCACGGGGUUGUAGGUGUGAACCACAGAGGGGGCGCAGCAAUGGGAUUAAGAACUCUUGGGGGAUGUUUGUCCACAGCCUCCACCACCAACACCUCAUCCUCCAACAGCACUGUGUCGGACUGCCGCACGGGCUUGCUCAGACCCCUGCGAUGUGCCUCCUGCUCCGGGGAGGCUGGCGCCUUUGAGAGUCCUGCUGCAUUCCGCAAAAAACUGGUGGGGGGAUGCCUGCCCUGUACCCCACUAUCCUCCUCAGCCCCGCUGCGAGCCUUACAGAGUUGUGUGAGUGGCUGCAACCCCAAAGCCAGUCAGGCCGGCAGCUCUACCUGCAGCUAUUGUAGCAGCGACCCUAUAGUUGUCACCUUCAACCCCCGUCGGGGCAAGCCCCCUGGUAUGGGCAGGGGUGUAGGGGCAGGGCCCCCCAUGGGAGUAUUCCCCGCUGAUGAUGAUGAUUACAGCGUGCGCACAAUCUGGCCUGAGGAGCUGGCGAAAAAGAUGACCGGGUCUAAAACCCAACAGAACCAGCAGAGCUGUGCAGGGAUGGGGAUGGGAGUGGGGAAGACAAGUGUGGGUCAGAACCAAAACAGCAGCAACGGAACCAGCCCUGUCACCCUGGACUGUAGGAACCUAUUGGAGUUCACCCGGAAUCAGAUAACAGACCACGCUGGCCGACGCCGGCUUCAGCAGGGCAAGAUGGCCGUCCUAGAUUUAAUUGGGUCUGGGCCUGGGCGAGAUCCAGACCAGGACUCCCUAAAGAGGCUCUGGAACAAAGGUGGGGAGUCAGGCAAGGUGGAUGGCAUGGGGCAGGAAGGCAAUAUUACAUACCCUCGCACCCCUUCCCCCCGCACCCCCUCUCCCCAAUCCCCUCCCUCCUUCUCACCCCCACCGUCAGCUCCCAGCACUCUCCUCAAACCCAAACCCAGACAGAGAGAUGCAGACGGACGCCAUUCCCUCCCCUCCGCCCAGUCCCUUCACCUGGUCCUCAACUCACUCAACAGAGAGCAGGACGAAGAGAGCGGCAGAGUGCACCUCACUCUGCCGCUCUCCUCCUCGCUACCGGCUUCCCUGUCAGAUGAGAAUGGGAUGACCCCUGACGUGGAGAAUGCGGUGGUCAGCCCCAUCCUACCCUUCCUCUUCCUGGGCAAUGAGAGGGAUGCCCAGGACCUGGACCUGCUGCUGCGACUCAACAUCGGCUAUGUGGUCAACGUCACCACACACCUGCCCCUCUACCACCUCGGCUCCGGCCUGGUACGCUACAAACGGCUACCGGCUACCGACAACAGCAAGCAGAACCUACGACAGUACUUUGAGGAGGUGUUUGAGUUCAUCGAGGAGGCUCACCAGAGUGGGCGAGGAGUGUUGAUUCACUGUCAAGCGGGCGUGUCCCGUUCGGCAACCAUCGUCAUAGCCUACCUGAUGAAGCACACCCUUAUGACCAUGACUGAUGCCUACAAGUAUGUGCGUGGCCGUCGUCCUGUGGUGUCUCCCAACCUCAACUUCAUGGGUCAGCUACUGGAGUUUGAGAGGGACCUCAACUCCGGGGUCACUCCUCGCAUCCUGACCCCCAAACUCAGCGGCCUGGAGACCCAGGUCUGACAGCGGGAUACGAGGAAUGGAGGGGAGGAAGAAACCAGCAUUGGGCCAGCCAUAGUUUUGUGAAGGAGAAACUAAAGGAAAAUGGGGUGAAACCAGAAACCUACAACUCAGUGAAUGAAACCAGAUCUGGUGCCAAUAGACGGAUGGUCAAGAGCAACAAUACACAGACAACACUGAACAGAUUCAGCAGACUAUUAUUGAACAGGACUUAGUCAUGGAUCUAUCUAUGUUGUCUUUCCAACAAUGGUUGGAAAGAUAUAAAAAGAUGAACACUGCAAAGUGUGUGCUUUAAUUAAGACACAAAACUGCACCAAGAUGUUGUUCUUUGAGUGCCCUCCUUGUUUGUGGAAUAUUUCUCCUGAACAUGUUUACUAUUGCAUAUAUACAAGUACAAGAGUAUUUAUUUUUAUUGAUGUGUUUUGUCAUAUAUUUUGUGUUGUGUAUGUCACUGCUUAUAUUUUAACUUAAAGAAUAUACAUUAUAUACAUGUAUGUAUUAAAAUGUAUCAUUACUGAGAAGGAAGUCGAGGAAAAAGAGGGAAUAUAGAAAAUACCCUUGAUAAUUUCUUGUAAUUGGGAAAGAUACAGUAGUAAUGAAAAUCAGACUUGAAAUAUAAGAUAAAGGCAGCAGAGAGACAAUCCUUGUCAACUUGUCUUCCUUUCAUUUAUGGCCUAGAUAAUUAUUAUUUUUUUAAAUGUUUUUUUAAACAAUACGUUUUUAAAGCAGUUGAUUUAUAUUAGACUUAUUCAAUGAAAUCCUUUGAUUGCCAAACUGAAGACUUUGAGGUCCUUAGCCAAACUAUUAGGUUGGGAAUGAAAAUAUAAUGCAAUGUUCAGCUAUCCUAGUCUUUAGAUAGUAUCCAGGCCUUUAUCUGCCUUGUCUGUCUGCCUGUUUGUCUGCUCAUCUAUCUUUAUCCUCCACCCAUCCUAGUCUUGAGUUAAUUAGUUCUUCCUGAUCCGUUUAUUCCCUCAAGCUGUAUUCAGCUAUGCCAUGUUACUGUGUGUAUAUCAUGCUCAGGAUAACAGAAAGGAGCAAUCCUUCGUAGCAGACAGAAUGAUACCUCUCUUACUCUUAUCUUCUGACAUGAUGUUGUAUCCCUUCUUUUACCCUCCAGUGUCUGCUUUGUGCUCCCAUCUGCCUCUGUAGAGUUUGAAUCUCUUUUACUACAAUACUAUGCAUUGUUCUUGUUAAAAAAUAUGUAUUUGAUCCGCGAAAACGAUAACAAAGCUUUAUCAUUGAGUUCACUGUGAAUCACACUCUUCCUGCAUAUUGUUUAGGUCUCAGCCUUGGUCCUUAAGUUUAAACCCAUCCAACUUGUAUUUAAUACUGUGGGUUGUCAGUCGCCCCUUGAGCUCCUGUCUGUCAGACUGUGGUUCCUGCUCACUAGUUUUACAUUUACUGAUCCUUAUCGCACAAUUUAUUCUGUGAUGCCCAGCCAAAUUUGAUCUAUUAAUGUCUUGCUAUGUAUCAAAUUUUGAUAUAAACUGAACAAAAAUAUAAACGCAACAUGCAACAAUUCCAUUUGAUUUUACGGAGUUACAGUUCAUAUGAGAAAAUCAGUCAAUUGAAAUAAAUUCAUUAGGCACUAAUCUAUGGA